CCGAGUUUUCAACUCCCAACCCAUGUGAACAUACCUUUGUUGCUUCGGCGGGAUGCCCCCGGCGCCUAGUGUGCCCGGGAUCAAGGCGCCCGCCGGAGGACCCAAACUCUUGUUUUCUAUAGAACUUCUGAGUGGAUUAUUUUAAUAAUUA
rnacentral:misc_RNA from 1 species